UUCGAGGUCUGACGUUGCCAUAGCUACCGGAUACGUACAUAUAUUUAUGUAGCAGAUAUUUAUUUAUAUCUAUAUAUAACUAUCUGUACGUAUAGGUAGGGAUUUUGGAUAAUGAAGAAGAGAUGAGAGAGGGAGAUGGGGCUAUCUAACGUCAGUGGAAGUUCAGGAUGACACGUGGCGGCUCCGCCGUGAAAGGAGGGGUUAUGUGGUUGCCACUCAGGAUAACGCCCUUCGUCGUCUUCCUUCCUUCCUUCGUCUCUCUCUCCCUCUCUCUCUCUCUCU